rnacentral:tRNA from 1 species
UUUCGAGUAAUUCAAUGGUAGAAUAUUUAGUUUACACCUAAAAUGUUAUUGGUUCGAAUCCAUUCUCGAAAU